rnacentral:lncRNA from 1 species
CUCCGGAUCCAGUGCCAGGCGCAGCCUCUCUGCGCACGGCCCGCUGCAGCCAUCUUGAAUCUUGAGGGCAGUCUUCUGCUUCUGCCUGGAGGCUGAGGUGUCAGUGUGGCCAUUUUGCGCCAGGAACUGUUGUCUGAGCUGCUGAGUGAGGCUUCUGCCUGUGACCCCCUGUGAACAGGUAACACCAGACUGAGCACAAAGGAAGAAAACAAAGGUGAGCUGAAGCCUGAGGAGGUGGUUGGGCUCUGGAGGGACCUCAUCCAGUGGGACAGAGAACUGACUUCACACGCAGAGGGAGG